rnacentral:lncRNA from 1 species
CAGUGUCUCCGGCGUGUCCUGCAUCUCGGCAGCCAGCUCCUCUGCAGCUCAGGCCCCGUGAGUCACAGCCGCUUCCUCAAAUGCUUUGGCUGACCGCAUCCCCCCGCUCCGCCAGAACCCUGGAUGCCGGAGCCCUCCCAGCGAGAGCCGUGUUUAUUUUACUUUACAUACAUUUUCCAACCCGGAGCGGCUUCAACACAUGCAGCUCUUAGGCCCGGGCCGCACAUCUCAGAAGCCCCGUGUGCGACUUUGACUGCCGCACGAUCCUCUGCCGGGGGAGGUGGGCCCGCUGCGCUUUGGGAGCACCCGCGCCCGACACUGAGGUCUCGGUGCUGUCUUCGGCCUCUUCGCCCCUGAGGGUCCCCUCUGGGAGCAGAGGCGGUCGGAAAACCCUGGGGCUGAAGUGCAGGCUUCGGGAGGACGCGACCUGCCAAGAUCAGCUCCCGGCACGUGAUGGGAGCCUGGCUCACCUUCCCCCAGCACACGAUGGGGCUGCAGCCUCCCCGGUCAGCCUGGCCUGCUGGAAAGGAGCAGCUCUGUCUCCAGAGGCUUCUGGCGAAGCCCAUGGCCUCCCAAUGUUGGCUGAUUUAUAAGGAAAGAGGGGAAAGGCCAAGUGUGGAUGCCAUUAGCAUAACCUAAUCCAGACCCCAUGACAAGUCCAGGAUCCUGCAGGGAGAGGGCAUCCUUGAACGUGAAGGACUGGGUUUGGAAACUUGGCCUCCCGGAAGAAAGGUCUCCGGGCCCACCCACACCCCCCUUGUGGACGCCCCCGCAGUCUAAUACACUCCACAGUAAGACGGACCAGGAACAGCAGCAGCCUCCGGUGUCGGCCCAGUGAUCCGGGAGCUCAGAGUUUUUGCUAAAAUAGCCUUCUCAUUGGCUGCGGCUUUGGAGGUGGCAGAAAUCAUACGUUUAAUCACGGCGCCCUCCUGCUUGCCAAGGUUAGCAGGGGCUGUACUGCUGUGCCCUCCUGUCCCUGGAGGCUCUGGUGGCCCCACUCCCCACACUGCCAGGCUGGGUGCCACGCUGCCGUGACCCCGGAAUUCAGCCUGUGGUGAUCGGUCUUCCCUAGCACGGAGCUGAGUUAGGGGCUCUAGAAUCAGUCCCAGCCACGUGAGGCUCUCCCUGGGAUGUGAGGGUCGUCUCGUCUGUUUACACGGGGGCCACAGUGCAGAUCCCAGCCCGGGCAGGGGAGGGGCAAAUCUAUGCCCACUUCAAGCUUCCACUUCUGCCCGCCUCAAAGUGCCGGAGACUCCGGCACCUCUGCGUUCCUCCUUCCCGGUAGGAACAGAAAGCUGGGAAAGGGCUGGGGUGGCAAGGAAGAGCCCCAGGAAGACGGGAGUGGCUCUCCCCACUCCCUAGAGGACCUCCCUCCCCCAAGCCCAUGGGCCGCCUUCUCCAGGGACUCUUCCCUGUCCCACCCACCGGGCAAGGUGGGCCCAGCAGGGUCUCCUUUUCACCGUGCGCCCCCUCCUGUGGCCGGGUCCUGGGCUAAUGACCUCACAUGCUGCUUUUACAAGUCAGGUUUAUUGCGGUAUCACGUACACACAUAAGGCUCACCCGUUUUCGAUGUACAGCCGACGACUUGGUAAGGGUCUAGAGUGGGGCACUUCUGCCCCGACAGAGGCAGCCCACAUUUUGCCCCUCUGCAGUCAGGCCCCUUCCCGGCCCCCAACCACCACCUGUCUCUCCUCGCUCCUACAGCUUUGCGUCCUCCAGAAUUGUCCUGUGAGUGACUCCCGCAGGAUGGAGACUUUUGUGUCUGGCUUCCUUCACUUCGCAGCAGGCUUCGCGGGACCCGUGUGGUGGCACCAGCGUCCAGCCCUUGAAACCCAUGAAAGAGGAUCCUGAAAGAGCAAGGGCAGCCUCCAGGUGAAGGUGGUGGGCGGCCUCCAGGUGAAGGCGGCCUCCAGGUGAAGGUGGUCAGCACCCUACCUUUGGCCAAGAGCAGACUGCAGUUUCAACUCAAAGAUUAUUCCUGAAUGAGUGAGUGACUGCAUCUCUCUUCUCCUCACCCCUGCUGUGGUUGUGUCUCCUCUUCAAGAAAAACCAAUAUGUGGAAAGGCCUAAGUCUGCACAAAACAAAUAUUUAUUUUACAAAAUAUUGUUUUUUGCUUUUCCAGUGCAGCAAGCUUAAACUUCCUUAAAAACAAACCUCUGGGAAGAGGAAAAUGAGGCAAGAUGCUGAGAAAAAGUCAUCUCCCACUCUGCCCUUCUCUGGCAAAUCGAAGUGUCCUCUUGUGGGAGGCGGUGGGCAGCGACACUCCCGUUGGACGUCAGUGCUCUCGGGCCCGGCCACCCCGGAGCAGAACUCACUUAGGGCCUGGUGCCCCUGUGCCCAGUUCUCAGAAUGUCGGAGUGCUCAGUUCUCAGAACGCCGGAGUGCCCCAUUCAUAACCUGCAGCCCCGUUCAUAGCCUGCAGCUCCCCUCCUUCCUCUCCUCCUGGUCUUCAGGGAGCACCCCCAGCUCCCCUCCCCACUCUCAAACCCUCCUCCUCCCUCCCCUCUCUCAGUUCCCUGUUUGCAGGAUCUCCUCCUGCCCACUCUCCAGCCCAGGUCCUCCCCUCUCAUCUCCAAUUCUGCUUCACGGGCCAUGACAGCAGGCAGGCCAUGGCCUGCUCUCAGCAGUUUGAUCGAUGGACUAAGGAGAUCACUCCUACGAGAGUGAAAAAGUCAAGUGUGCCUGAGAUUCGGAUGGGGAGCUCUCAAAGCUAUGGAUUGCAAGAGUCAACACCGCCUCAAAAGUACAAGGCCGGCCGGGUGCAGUGGCUCACACCUUUAAUCCCAGCACUUUGGGAGACUGAGGUGGGUGGAUCACCUGAGGUCAGGAGCUCAAGACCAGCCUGACCAACAUGGUGAAAUCCCGUCUCUAUUAAAAAUACAAAAAAAAUUAGCCAGGUGUGGUGGUGCAUGCUUGUAGAUCCAGCUACUCGGGAGGCUGAGGCAGGGGGAGCACUUGAACCCGGGAGGUGGAGGUUGCAGUGAGCCGAGAUUGCGCCAUUGCACUCCAGCCUGGGCAACAGAGUGAGACCCUGCCUCAAAAAGAUAAAAAAAUAAAAGUACGAGGCCCGGUUUAAAUGCAGGAGGAAUCUGGUGAGCGAGUUUCACUCUGAUGCAACAGAAAAGCCAAGCCAAGCCUUGGCUGUGCCUGAUCUUGGCCGGGGAGCCACAGGCAGGGUCUGCUGGUUUCGGUGUCAGGGGCACAUCGCCAGGACCACGUGUGAGAUGGGAAGUGCCUUGAUGGAAAACUGAUACCUUUUUCUUUCCGAGUAACUUUAGAAUAUGUCGCUUCAAAUAUAACUAAUAUCCUGAUUUCAAUGGACUUGCAUGGAAGGAAACGCAAGUUCAUUUGCCAGUGGGGGGUGAGGACUGGGAGAGUGGGGAGCAGGGUGGGGAAGAGGGGACCAUUCCACAAGCUGCAAGAGCCUGGACACCUCCAGCCUUCAAUAAAUAGCAUUUGAAUUUGCUGUGCCUAAUUCAACCUUGCAUUUGUGUAGUGAAAGUCAGGCCCACGGUGUGUAUAGUUUGGCACAUGAGUUCAGCUCGGGUCCCCUUGAUCUGCUUCUAUGUUCUCACUCUCUCCCUGCCCGGCAUGCCCCUCUUUUUCUAUCCAGAUGAGCGAAGGGGUGAAUUAGUCCAGAAAUGUUUCUGCUCCAGUCAAACAAACAUUAUCACCUGUCAGUCAAACAUUAUCACCUGUCAGUCACCAGAGACGUGCACAGGUGCCUUCUCCUUUGCCUCGAGGUUUCUAUGACCUGGGAAAAGCCCAUCCCAUUCCCGGAUGAGGCUUCCCUGCGACCGGCCACAGACACACGAGCUACGCCCCGCCUUGCCAAAACUUUCAAGGUGGGAUGGAAGAAUCUGUCGUUUCUGCAUUUACGACCCCGUACGUGUUCCGUGCUGCAUCUGUUCUGGUUGGGUUGUCUCUCCUCUCAAGGCCUCUUUUGACCCAAACUUACUGCAAAGCAGAUGAGUGAGCCAGAAGCUGCGCUGGGCGUUGGGGGUUGUGGCAGAGGCUGGGGCUGUAUGUGGGCCGGCAGGCCACGGGCCGACCCACCGCAGGCAGCUUAGCAA